rnacentral:rRNA from 1 species
GACGAACGCUGUCGGCGUGCUUAACACAUGCAAGUCGAACGGAAAGGCCCUGCUUUUGUGGGGUGCUCGAGUGGCGAACGGGUGAGUAACACGUGAGUAACCUGCCCUUGACUUUGGGAUAACUUCAGGAAACUGGGGCUAAUACCGGAUAGGAGCUCCUGCUGCAUGGUGGGGGUUGGAAAGUUUCGGCGGUUGGGGAUGGACUCGCGGCUUAUCAGCUUGUUGGUGGGGUAGUGGCUUACCAAGGCUUUGACGGGUAGCCGGCCUGAGAGGGUGACCGGCCACAUUGGGACUGAGAUACGGCCCAGACUCCUACGGGAGGCAGCAGUGGGGAAUAUUGCACAAUGGGCGGAAGCCUGAUGCAGCAACGCCGCGUGCGGGAUGACGGCCUUCGGGUUGUAAACCGCUUUCGCCUGUGACGAAGCGUGAGUGACGGUAAUGGGUAAAGAAGCACCGGCUAACUACGUGCCAGCAGCCGCGGUGAUACGUAGGGUGCGAGCGUUGUCCGGAUUUAUUGGGCGUAAAGGGCUCGUAGGUGGUUGAUCGCGUCGGAAGUGUAAUCUUGGGGCUUAACCCUGAGCGUGCUUUCGAUACGGGUUGACUUGAGGAAGGUAGGGGAGAAUGGAAUUCCUGGUGGAGCGGUGGAAUGCGCAGAUAUCAGGAGGAACACCAGUGGCGAAGGCGGUUCUCUGGGCCUUUCCUGACGCUGAGGAGCGAAAGCGUGGGGAGCGAACAGGCUUAGAUACCCUGGUAGUCCACGCUGUAAACGGUGGGUACUAGGUGUGGGGUCCAUUCCACGGGUUCCGUGCCGUAGCUAACGCUUUAAGUACCCCGCCUGGGGAGUACGGCCGCAAGGCUAAAACUCAAAGGAAUUGACGGGGCCCCGCACAAGCGGCGGAGCAUGCGGAUUAAUUCGAUGCAACGCGUAGAACCUUACCUGGGUUUGACAUGGAUCGGGAGUGCUCAGAGAUGGGUGUGCCUCUUUUGGGGUCGGUUCACAGGUGGUGCAUGGCUGUCGUCAGCUCGUGUCGUGAGAUGUUGGGUUAAGUCCCGCAACGAGCGCAACCCUUGUUCACUGUUGCCAGCACGUUAUGGUGGGGACUCAGUGGAGACCGCCGGGGUCAACUCGGAGGAAGGUGGGGAUGACGUCAAGUCAUCAUGCCCCUUAUGUCCAGGGCUUCACGCAUGCUACAAUGGCUGGUACAGAGAGUGGCGAGCCUGUGAGGGUGAGCGAAUCUCGGAAAGCCGGCCUCAGUUCGGAUUGGGGUCUGCAACUCGACCUCAUGAAGUCGGAGUCGCUAGUAAUCGCAGAUCAGCAACGCUGCGGUGAAUACGUUCCCGGG